CCUUGCCGCCGGCGACCGGCGCACGGGUGAGUAACGCGUAUGCAACCUGCCCGUGGCAGGGGGAUAAGCGGGGGAAACCCCGUCUAAUACCGCGUAACGCGGCCUUGGGGCAUCCCAAGGCCGCCAAAGGGAGCAAUCCCGGCCACGGAUGGGCAUGCGGCGCAUUAGCUAGUCGGCGGGGUAACGGCCCACCGAGGCGACGAUGCGUAGGGGUUCUGAGAGGAAGGUCCCCCACACUGGUACUGAGACACGGACCAGACUCCUACGGGAGGCAGCAG
rnacentral:rRNA from 1 species